rnacentral:misc_RNA from 1 species
UUUCCGUAGGUGAACCUGCGGAAGGAUCAUUAAUGAGUUGUCAUGGGGUUCGAUGCUGGCAGCCAGUUUUUGGAUGCAUGUGCUUGCCCUAACAAUCAUCUUCUUCCAAACACCUGUGCACAUUUUUGAGGGAGUCUUGAGUUGGUUGCCGCUCUUGGGUGAUUUUCUCACAUUCCCUUAAAUCAUUAUACGCUAUUAACAAUGUUGAACGUGCUCUGUGCCGCAAGGCCAUUAAUAUAAUACAACUUUUAACAACGGAUCUCUUGGCUCUCGCACCGUGGAGAACGCAGC